AACGAACGCUGGCGGCAUGCCUAACACAUGCAAGUCGAACGAGACCUUCGGGUCUAGUGGCGCACGGGUGCGUAACGCGUGGGAACCUGCCCUUAGGUUCGGAAUAACUCCCCGAAAGGGGUGCUAAUACCGGAUAAUGUCUUCGGACCAAAGAUUUAUCCCCUUUGGAUGGGCCCGCGUUGGAUUAGCUAGUUGGUAGGGUAAAAGCCUACCAAGGCGACGAUCCAUAGCUGGUCUGAGAGGAUGAUCAGCCACACUGGGACUGAGACACGGCCCAGACUCCUACGGGAGGCAGGAGUGGGGAAUAUUGGACAAUGGGCGAAAGCCUGAUCCAGCAAUGCCGCGUGAGUGAUGAAGGCCUUAGGGUUGUAAAGCUCUUUUACCCGGGAUGAUAAUGACAGUACCGGGAGAAUAAGCUCCGGCUAACUCCGUG
rnacentral:rRNA from 1 species